AUUGAACGCUGGCGGAAUGCUUUACACAUGCAAGUCGAACGGCAGCACGGACUUCGGUCUGGUGGCGAGUGGCGGACGGGUGAGUAAUGUAUCGGAACGUGCCCAGUCGUGGGGGAUAACGUAGUGAAAAUUACGCUAAUACCGCAUACGAUCUAUGGAUGACAGCGGGGGAUCGCAAGACCUCGCGCGAUUGGAGCGGCCGAUAUCAGAUUAGGUAGUUGGUGGGGUAAAGGCCCACCAAGCACACGAGCUGUAGCUGGUCUGACAGGACGACCAGCACGACUGGAACUUGGACACGGUCCAGACUCCUACGGGAGGGAGCAGUGGGGAAUUUUGGACAAUGGGCGAAAGCCUGAUCCAGCCAUUCCGCGUGCAGGAUGAAGGCCCUCGGGUUGUAAACUGCUUUUGUACAGAACGAAAAGGUUUCUACUAAUACUAGGAGCUCAUGACGGUACUGUAAGAAUAAGCACCGGCUAACUACGUGCCAGCAGCCGCAGUAA
rnacentral:rRNA from 1 species